UACAUUAUUUUUACAUGUGGUCAAGUUGA
rnacentral:piRNA from 1 species